CGCAUCUGUGCAUGCAGCAUAUCAAUAAGCGGAGGAAAAGAAACUAACAAGGAUUCCCUUAGUAACGGCGAGUGAAGCGGGAAGAGCUCAAAUUUGAAAUCUUGAAAGGUCACCUUUCACGAAUUGUAGUUUAAAGAAGUGUUUUCUGUUACGAUCGUAAUAUAAGUUCUUUGGAAUAGGACAUCACAGAGGGUGAGAAUCCCGUCUAUGAUUGCGAUUUGUAGCUUUGUGAUACACUUUCAAAGAGUCGGGUUGUUUGGGAAUGCAGUCCAAAAUGGGUAGGUAAAUUUCUUCUAAGGCUAAAUAUUGGCGAGAGACCGAUAGCGAACAAGUACCGUGAGGGAAAGAUGAAAAGAACUUUGAAAAGAGAGUUAAAUAGUACGUGAAAUUGUCAAAAGGGAGGCGUUUAACACCAGUGUUGUUUUCUGAAAAUCAACCUCUGUUAGCUUUAUGCAUGUUUGUUUAGACCUAAUCAGCUAUCUUGCAUGUUCUAUUGUUUGCAGUGGUGCACUUUUCAGUUUACAGGUCAACAUCAGUUUUUUUUACCGUAAAAAAGUUAAAGAAAGGUAGCUCAUGGCUCCGGUCGUGAGUGUUAUAGUCUUUUUCCUAUGCGGUAGGAGAGACUGAGGUCUGCAGUGUAGGCUAUUUGGCUAGAUACUCAGGUGCUAUGUGAUACCAUUUCAUAAACAACUUGUUGAUUAUGUUUUGUCUAUUGCAUACUCGCUUGUACUAUCAUACCUACGCUUAGGAUGUUGACGAUCAGCUGAGCGCG
rnacentral:rRNA from 1 species